rnacentral:rRNA from 1 species
GAUGAACGCUGGCGGCGUGCCUAAUACAUGCAAGUCGAGCGAACAGACGAGGAGCUUGCUCCUCUGAUGUUAGCGGCGGACGGGUGAGUAACACGUGGAUAACCUACCUAUAAGACUGGGAUAACUUCGGGAAACCGGAGCUAAUACCGGAUAACAUGUUGAACCGCAUGGUUCAACAGUGAAAGACGGUCUUGCUGUCACUUAUAGAUGGAUCCGCGCCGCAUUAGCUAGUUGGUAAGGUAACGGCUUACCAAGGCAACGAUGCAUAGCCGACCUGAGAGGGUGAUCGGCCACACUGGAACUGAGACACGGUCCAGACUCCUACGGGAGGCAGCAGUAGGGAAUCUUCCGCAAUGGGCGAAAGCCUGACGGAGCAACGCCGCGUGAGUGAAGAAGGUCUUCGGAUCGUAAAACUCUGUUAUUAGGGAAGAACAAAUGUGUAAGUAACUAUGCACGUCUUGACGAUACCUAAUCAGAAAGCCACGGCUAACUACGUG